GGUAGUGUGGCCGAGUGGUCUAAGACGCUGGAUUUAGGCUCCCGUCUCUGUAGAGGCGUGGGUUCAAAUCCCACCACUGCCA